rnacentral:rRNA from 1 species
GUGGGAGCCUCUUAAUGGGGUGACUGCGUACCUUUUGUAUAAUGGGUCAGCGACUUAUAUUCUGUAGCAAGGUUAACCGAAUAGGGGAGCCGAAGGGAAACCGAGUCUUAACUGGGCGUUAAGUUGCAGGGUAUAGACCCGAAACCCGGUGAUCUAGCCAUGGGCAGGUUGAAGGUUGGGUAACACUAACUGGAGGACCGAACCGACUAAUGUUGAAAAAUUAGCGGAUGACUUGUGGCUGGGGGUGAAAGGCCAAUCAAACCGGGAGAUAGCUGGUUCUCCCCGAAAGCUAUUUAGGUAGCGCCUCGUGAAUUCAUCUCCGGGGGUAGAGCACUGUUUCGGCAAGGGGGUCAUCCCGACUUACCAACCCGAUGCAAACUGCGAAUACCGGAGAAUGUUAUCACGGGAGACACACGGCGGGUGCUAACGUCCGUCGUGAAGAGGGAAACAACCCAGACCGCCAGCUAAGGUCCCAAAGUCAUGGUUAAGUGGGAAACGAUGUGGGAAGGCCCAGACAGCCAGGAUGUUGGCUUAGAAGCAGCCAUCAUUUAAAGAAAGCGUAAUAGCUCACUGGUCGAGUCGGCCUGCGCGGAAGAUGUAACGGGGCUAAACCAUGCACCGAAGCUGCGGCAGCGACGCUUAUGCGUUGUUGGGUAGGGGAGCGUUCUGUAAGCCUGUGAAGGUGGCCUGUGAGGGUUGCUGGAGGUAUCAGAAGUGCGAAUGCUGACAUAAGUAACGAUAAAGCGGGUGAAAAGCCCGCUCGCCGGAAGACCAAGGGUUCCUGUCCAACGUUAAUCGGGGCAGGGUGAGUCGACCCCUAAGGCGAGGCCGAAAGGCGUAGUCGAUGGGAAACAGGUUAAUAUUCCUGUACUUGGUGUUACUGCGAAGGGGGGACGGAGAAGGCUAUGUUGGCCGGGCGACGGUUGUCCCGGUUUAAGCGUGUAGGCUGGUUUUCCAGGCAAAUCCGGAAAACCAAGGCUGAGGCGUGAUGACGAGGCACUACGGUGCUGAAGCGACAAAUGCCCUGCUUCCAGGAAAAGCCUCUAAGCAUCAGGUAACAUCAAAUCGUACCCCAAACCGACACAGGUGGUCAGGUAGAGAAUACCAAGGCGCUUGAGAGAACUCGGGUGAAGGAACUAGGCAAAAUGGUGCCGUAACUUCGGGAGAAGGCACGCUGAUAUGUAGGUGAAGCGACUUGCUCGUGGAGCUGAAAUCAGUCGAAGAUACCAGCUGGCUGCAACUGUUUAUUAAAAACACAGCACUGUGCAAACACGAAAGUGGACGUAUACGGUGUGACGCCUGCCCGGUGCCGGAAGGUUAAUUGAUGGGGUUAGCGGUAACGCGAAGCUCUUGAUCGAAGCCCCGGUAAACGGCGGCCGUAACUAUAACGGUCCUAAGGUAGCGAAAUUCCUUGUCGGGUAAGUUCCGACCUGCACGAAUGGCGUAAUGAUGGCCAGGCUGUCUCCACCCGAGACUCAGUGAAAUUGAACUCGCUGUGAAGAUGCAGUGUACCCGCGGCAAGACGGAAAGACCCCGUGAACCUUUACUAUAGCUUGACACUGAACAUUGAGCCUUGAUGUGUAGGAUAGGUGGGAGGCUUUGAAGUGUGGACGCCAGUCUGCAUGGAGCCGACCUUGAAAUACCACCCUUUAAUGUUUGAUGUUCUAACGUUGGCCCGUAAUCCGGGUUGCGGACAGUGUCUGGUGGGUAGUUUGACUGGGGCGGUCUCCUCCUAAAGAGUAACGGAGGAGCACGAAGGUUGGCUAAUCCUGGUCGGACAUCAGGAGGUUAGUGCAAUGGCAUAAGCCAGCUUGACUGCGAGCGUGACGGCGCGAGCAGGUGCGAAAGCAGGUCAUAGUGAUCCGGUGGUUCUGAAUGGAAGGGCCAUCGCUCAACGGAUAAAAGGUACUCCGGGGAUAACAGGCUGAUACCGCCCAAGAGUUCAUAUCGACGGCGGUGUUUGGCACCUCGAUGUCGGCUCAUCACAUCCUGGGGCUGAAGUAGGUCCCAAGGGUAUGGCUGUUCGCCAUUUAAAGUGGUACGCGAGCUGGGUUUAGAACGUCGUGAGACAGUUCGGUCCCUAUCUGCCGUGGGCGCUGGAGAACUGAGGGGGGCUGCUCCUAGUACGAGAGGACCGGAGUGGACGCAUCACUGGUGUUCGGGUUGUCAUGCCAAUGGCACUGCCCGGUAGCUAAAUGCGGAAGAGAUAAGUGCUGAAAGCAUCUAAGCACGAAACUUGCCCCGAGAUGAGUUCUCCCUGAGACUUAGAGUCUCCUGAAGGAACGUUGAAGACGACGACGUUGAUAGGCCGGGUGUGUAAGCGCAGCGAUGCGUUGAGCUAACCGGUACUAAUGAACCGUGAGGCUUAACCUUACAACGCCGAAG